AUAAUGGAGAGUUUGAUCCUGGCUCAGGACGAACGCUGGCGGCGUGCCUAAUACAUGCAAGUCGAGCGGAAGUUGAAGAGCUUGCUCUUCAACUUUAGCGGCGGACGGGUGAGUAACACGUGGGCAACCUGCCCUGCAGAUCGGGAUAACUCCGGGAAACCGGUGCUAAUACCGAAUAGUUUUGGGUCCCUCCUGGGACCCAACGGAAAGACGGUUUCGGCUGUCACUGCAGGAUGGGCCCGCGGCGCAUUAGCUA
rnacentral:ncRNA from 1 species